AGUGAACGCUGGCGGUAGGCCUAACACAUGCAAGUCGAACGGCAGCACAGUAAGAGCUUGCUCUUACGGGUGGCGAGUGGCGGACGGGUGAGGAAUACAUCGGAAUCUACUUUUUCGUGGGGGAUAACGUAGGGAAACUUACGCUAAUACCGCAUACGGCCUACGGGUGAAAGCAGGGGAUCUUCGGACCUUGCGCGAUUGAAUGAGCCGAUGUCGGAUUAGCUAGUUGGCGGGGUAAAGGCCCACCAAGGCGACGAUCCGUAGCUGGUCUGAGAGGAUGAUCAGCCACACUGGAACUGAGACACGGUCCAGACUCCUACGGGAGGCAGCAGUGGGGAAUAUUGGACAAUGGGCGCAAGCCUGAUCCAGCCAUACCGCGUGGGUGAAGAAGGCCUUCGGGUUGUAAAGCCCUUUUGUUGGGAAAGAAAAGCAGCAGGUUAAUACCCCGCUGCUCUGACGGUACCCAAAGAAUAAGCACCGGCUAACUUCGUG
rnacentral:rRNA from 1 species